AUUGAACGCUGGCGGCAUGCCUAACACAUGCAAGUCGAGCGGAGCGGCGGACGGGGGAGUACUGCCUAGUAAUCUGCCUGGUAGUGGGGGAUCACGUCCGGCAAGGGGCGCUAAUAACGCAUACUUUCAGAUCAGCCUAGGUGGGCUUAGCUAGUUGGUGGGGUAAUGGACUACCAAGGUGACGAUCCGGAACUGGUCUGAGAGGGUGAUCAGUCACACUGGAACUGAGACACGGUCCAGACUCCUACGGGAGGCAGCAGUGGGGAAUAUUGGACAAUGGGCGAAAGCCUGAUCCAGCCAGGCCGCGUGAGUGAAGAAGGUCUUCGGAUUGUAAAGCGCUGUAAGUUGGGAGGCGUUACCAACAGAGUAAGCACCGGCUAACUACGUGCCAGCAGCCGCGGUAAUAC
rnacentral:rRNA from 1 species